GAUGAACGCUGGCGGUAUGCCUUACACAUGCAAGUCGAACGGAGAUUAGCUUCGGUUAAUUUUAGUGGCGGACGGGUGAGUAACACGUGAGAAUUCGCCUUUAGGAGGGGGAUAACGGAUGGAAACAUUCGCUAAAACCCCAUAUGCCCCUGGGUGAAACAGAGGAGAUAAGUAAUACUGACUCACCUCUGCCUGAAGAGAAGCUCGCGGCUGAUUAGCUAGUUGGUAGGGUAAAGGCCUACCAAGGCGACGAUCAGUAGCUGGUCUGAGAGGACGAUCAGCCACACUGGAACUGAGACACGGUCCAGACUCCUACGGGAGGCUG
rnacentral:rRNA from 1 species